rnacentral:tRNA from 1 species
GGGAAUGUGGCUUAGUGGUAAAGUGCUUGCCUAGCAUGCAUGAAGCCCUGGGUUCAAUCCUCAGUACCA